rnacentral:rRNA from 1 species
UACGGGGGGGGCAAGCGUUGUUCGGAAUUACUGGGCGUAAAGGGCUCGUAGGCGGCCAACUAAGUCGGAUGUGAAAUCCCCAGGCUCAACCUGGGAACUGCAUCCGAUACUGGAUGGCUUGAAUUCGGGAGAGGGAUGCAGAAUUCCAGGUGUAGCGGUGAAAUGUGUAGAUAUCUGGAGGAAUAUCGGUGGCGAAGGCGGCAUCCUGGACCGACAUUGACGCUGAGGAGCGAAAGCCAGGGGAGCAAACGGG